ensembl:antisense Gm43109 predicted gene 43109
CUUUAAAAGUCUCUAUUUAAUAUAUCGUUAAUUUUUUUUUUCAAACAAAAUCAAGAGAAAGCAAAAGCUCCUUCCUUCACUUACAGUAGAUGUCCACGUGGAUACUUCGUUCCAGCUUCCCAGAGCCACAUGUUGCUGUGCACAGUUUAUAUUCUAGGGGACAGAAACAAAGAAAGGCAAAGAGCAAUGGACCAGCAAUAGGACAUCACUGAGGCACAAAGGCAGAGUAAGCACAAGUAGAAAUAAUCCUGGAAUCCAAGAGUGGCCCUUCUGGAAGAAGGACAGAAGUCUCUACAUUGUCUCACAGCCUGCGCAUCACAUGCGUCAACCUGGAGACACAGUGCUGUCCUGAUGGUGAAUAAAUGGUCGUCUAGAUAUGGGGAGCUCUAAGUGUGUUCAGCAUCACCCGAAAAUGCAUUACAAGUGCAAAUUCUCAGAUGUCACCCCAGAUUCACUGGAACAGUGCCAGAGAGUUGUCAGGAAUCGCUGGUUUCUGAUGUUAUCGUCCUUCAUGUGUAUCACCAGUUCUGCUCAAGAAGAGGAAAUCACAAAAAAAUGUGUUGCAAUAAAAUAGGUUUUGCAUCCUUGAUCCAACCUGAGUGGAAUUGCUGGUAAUAAGACAAAGAAGAAAGGUCAGAGCUCAGGUAUGAUGCUCACAGCCAAAGGAAGAAUGGAGAGCUUUGUAUGACCUUCCCUGAGUACAGUGCUCUUCUCUGUUCCUUGUGUGACAUCACAAGCCUCCACAAACUUAUGC